GAAGACAAGGUAGGGAAAGAAAAUAUUAGGAUCUCUUGUUGCCUUUUCUUGCAUAACAUGAUUUAUCAUUUCUUUACAGCGUAGCUGCAAAUCAUGUGAUUUGGGUUUUGAAAUCUCUCGUGUGGCCUAUAAUGAAGUUAAUUUAUGAGCACCAGCAGUUCAUCAAUUAGAAGCUUAUCUUUUGAGCCAAAAACAAGUCUGGCUAUCCUAAUUUUAAGCUCUCUGGCAGGGAAUAUAAUGAAAUCAAUUUCAUGAGGACUGAUAUUCAUCAAAUGCUUUUCUAAUGAGCCAAAAACAAGUGAUUUUGUGUAGUUAUGACGAUCUUGAUUUAUCAAAAUUUUUGUCUUCGUCAUCUGCAUAACAAGUACAUAUUGAUGACAUGUAUUCCUUACAAGAAAAUGAUAUUUUCAAAUUUCCAUUUCCAUUUCCAUUUCAGUUUCUCCUUGUUAUGAUCCUCUUCUGUCUCUCGUUAUGUUGACACUUCUGUGGCUUAAUACAGAUGACAG
rnacentral:misc_RNA from 1 species